GAAAAUAUGAAAUAAAAUCAAAGGUAAAUACUUUAGAACGAUGGUAUAGUAAAUUUUUUGUUGCAGUUUGUGAUUAUGAUAACAAUUUUCUUGCAGUUUGUUUGGUGGUUGAUACUAGUUGACCUCUUAAGUUUAAGAGUGUUGAUGUUUUCUGAGGUAUUGCUAUAAGAUCCAUUGUUCAUGAAACAAAGUUUGCAUCUACAAUCACUCACAGCCACAAUCUUCCGAUUUGUUUGGAAAUAGUAGGAGAGAGGGAAAUUCAGAUUGUACAAAAGUGAAAAUUAGGUUUGAGAUUUCUUUUAAUUAGUUAAACACAUCUCAAUUUUUGUUUUCGAUAAUUGAUGCUUUUUUUAUUAUAAUUUCUUGCAAGUUACAUGAUAUUCAAACGAGAGAAAAUAUCAAAAUCUUGGAAAUUCACUCUAGGUAAGUGUCCUCUUGUCUCAUAUUCAAUUUGUAAAUAGUA
rnacentral:lncRNA from 1 species